rnacentral:rRNA from 1 species
AAUGAACGUUGGCGGCGUGGAUUAGGCAUGCAAGUCGAGCGGAAAGGCCCGCAAGGGCACUCGAGCGGCGUAAGGGACAGUAAUGUGUAGGUAACGUACCCCUGGGUCUAGGAUAGCUGCUGGAAACUGCAAUUAAUACUAGAUAACGUCUCCGGACCAAAGGUGUGAUUCCACCUGGGGAGCGGCCUACAUCCUAUUAGCUAGUUGGCGAGGUAAUGGCUCACCAAGGCGAAGAUGGGUAGCAGGUGUGAGAGCACGACCUGCGUCACUGGGACUGAGACACUGCCCAGACACCUACGGGUGGCUGCAGUCGAGAAUCUUCGGCAAUGGGCGAAAGCCUGACCGAGCGACGCCGCGUGUGGGAUGAAGGCCUUCGGGUUGUAAACCACUGUCGGAGGGGAUGAAGUGUUAGUGGGUUCUCCCAUUAACUUGACUGAUCCUCGGAGGAAGGGUGGGCUAAGUUCGUGCCAGCCGCCGCGGUAAGAC